rnacentral:rRNA from 1 species
UGCUCCUCUGGAUUAGUGGCGAACGGGUGAGUAACACGUGAGCAAUCUGCCCUUGACUCUGGGAUAAGCGCUGGAAACGGCGUCUAAUACCGGAUACGAGCUGCGAAGGCAUCUUCAGCAGCUGGAAAGAACUUCGGUCAAGGAUGAGCUCGCGGCCUAUCAGCUUGUUGGUGAGGUAAUGGCUCACCAAGGCGACGACGGGUAGCCGGCCUGAGAGGGUGACCGGCCACACUGGGACUGAGACACGGCCCAGACUCCUACGGGAGGCAGCAGUGGGGAAUAUUGCACAAUGGGCGCAAGCCUGAUGCAGCAACGCCGCGUGAGGGAUGACGGCCUUCGGGUUGUAAACCUCUUUUAGCAGGGAAGAAGCGAGAGUGACGGUACCUGCAGAAAAAGCACCGGCUAACUACGUGCCAGCAGCCGCGGUAAUACGUAGGGUGCGAGCGUUAUCCGGAAUUAUUGGGCGUAAAGAGCUCGUAGGCGGUCUGUCGCGUCUGCUGUGAAAACCCGAGGCUCAACCUCGGGCUUGCAGUGGGUACGGGCAGACUAGAGUGCGGUAGGGGAGAUUGGAAUUCCUGGUGUAGCGGUGGAAUGCGCAGAUAUCAGGAGGAACACCGAUGGCGAAGGCAGAUCUCUGGGCCGUUACUGACGCUGAGGAGCGAAAGCGUGGGGAGCAAACAGGCUUAGAUACCCUGGUAGUCCACGCCGUAAACGUUGGGAACUAGAUGUGGGGACCAUUCCACGGUCUCCGUGUCGUAGCUAACGCAUUAAGUUCCCCGCCUGGGGAGUACGGCCGCAAGGCUAAAACUCAAAGGAAUUGACGGGGGCCCGCACAAGCGGCGGAGCAUGCGGAUUAAUUCGAUGCAACGCGAAGAACCUUACCAAGGCUUGACAUGUACGAGAACGCGCUGGAGACAGCGAACUCUUUGGACACUCGUAUACAGGUGGUGCAUGGUUGUCGUCAGCUCGUGUCGUGAGAUGUUGGGUUAAGUCCCGCAACG